rnacentral:lncRNA from 1 species
GAUAUUAGCCCCAAAGCUCGGAUUAACCAAGAUUCAAUCCAUAGACCACAGGAAGUUCAAGAAGAAGGAAGACCAAAGUGUGAAUGCUUCAGUCUUUCUUAAAAGGGAGAACAAAAAUAUUCACAGGAUAUGGAGACAAAGUUUGGAGCAGAGACUGAAGGAAUGGCCAUUCAGAGCAUGCCCCACAUGGGGAUCCAGCCCACAUAUGCAGCCACCAAACACUAGACACUAUUGCUGAUGCCAAGAAGUGCAUGCUGACAGGAGCCUGAUAUAGCUGUCUCCUGAGAAGCUCAGCCAGAUUCUGACAAACACAAAGGUGGAUGCCGCAGCCAAUCAUUGAACUGAGAACGGGAUCCCCAUUAGAGGAGUUAGAGAAAGGAUUAAAGAGCUAAAGGGGCUUGCAACCCCAUAAGAACAACAAUAUCAACCAACCGGAGCUCCCAGGGACUAAACCACCAUCCAAAGAGAACACAUGGACAGACCCAUGGCUCCAGCUGCAUAUGUAGCAGAGGAAGGCAUUUCUGGGCACCAGUGGGAGGACAAGCCCUUGGUCCCCCUUGGCCAAGGCUGGAUCCCCCAGUGUAGAGGAAUGUCAGGGCAGGGAGGCAGGAACGGGUGGGUGGAUGGGUGGAUGGGUGGGGGUGCACCCUCAUAGAAGAAGGGAGAGGGGCAAUGGAAUAGGGGCUUUAUGGACAGGAAACUGGAGAAGGGGAUAACAUUUGAAAUGUAAAUAAAAAAUAUCCGAAAAAAGAAGAAGAAGAUGAGGAAGUGAAGGUGAA